CACCAACGUUGUUUGAGAGUCCUCCUUUCUCCACAGUCUCACCAGGAUCCGCUAUUCCCUGUCUUUUUUGUAAAAGCCAUUCUAACUGGGUCCCAGAAGAAGGAUGAGAGAAGUGUGGAGCAAGAUCCAGCCUGCUGAAUUGCACUGUGAAAAAGAUGAUCCCAACCACCACAGCCUCAGAAGAGACAUCUCUGCUGAUCCACAGGUUCAUAAGUAUGGACAGCAUUAUUGGCAAUGGUUGCAAUAACCACAUGAUAUACCAAAGAGAUUAUAGUGUGAAAGAUACACAAGAUCACUUCCUUCAUGGAGCCUGCAAUCCAAUGGGGAGAAAUACAUAUAAAUGAAUAAACAAAAAUACAUUAAAAUAAUUCGUAUUAUGAAUAAAGUGAAAUGAGCAAGAGGCUGGUAACAGAGCUUGUUUUACAAGGGUGACUAAAGACUGCUCACAAUAUUUUUUUGCAUUUUUAAAUACAUAUCGGUGGUGUCAACAUAGCUUCAGUCACAGAAGCCUGUGCUACAGAAAAUGGUUGUCACUUUACUGCAAUUUUUUAAAAGAUGCCCUAGUUCUUAAACUUUAACUGUGGCUCUGACAAUUCUCAAUAUAGUUUAAUAUUAGUGAAUGAUAAAAUGACUGGCAUAUGGUGAAUAUGCCAAUAAAUAAAAGUUGGUAUAAUUUUAGAACAUCAUAGUGGGUUAUAAGUAAAAUAUUGCAGCUCAUUUUACUUUUGUUAAUGAGUCAGAAAAAAAUUAUGUAUGUUCGAUGUUUUACUCGCUUGUUCUGGCAUAUUUGGGCAAACUGAAAUUUAUGUGCCACUGUGCCACUGCCAUCCUUGAGCACACCACUAGGUUUUACUGAAAAUGAAUAAUUACUGCUUCUUGGCCAGAUGGACAAUUCCAAAAUAAACAGAAGAAAUCCUAAAGCAAUGUUAGCUUGGCUUCCA
rnacentral:lncRNA from 1 species